AAAGUCUGACAGACAAUCGCCGGCGGCCUUUGUUGCCGCGGGAGGAAAGUCCGGGCUCCGCAGGGCAGGAUGCUGGAUAACGUCCAGUCGGCGCGAGCCGAAGGAUAGUGCCACAGAAAUGGACCGCCGAUGGCCGGCUUCACGCCGGCACAGGCAAGGGUGGAACCGUGGUGUAAGAGACCACGAGCGGCGUUGGUGACAACGCGGCUGGUAAACCCCAUCCGGAGCAAGACCGAGAGAACGCGGCGGCCUCAGAGCCGCAGCCCUUGCCCGGGGCGCGUUCGGGUUGGUCGCUUGAGCUGUGCAGCAAUGCACAGCCUAGAUAGAUGAUUGUCGCUUCCAUCGUGGGAGGGUCGUUCCCGUUAUACCACCGGAAGUACAGAACCCGGCUUAUGGCAGGCUUUCCGC
rfam:Thermobacillus composti KWC4, complete genome.